rnacentral:tRNA from 1 species
AGGGGCGGAUGUAGCCAAGUGGAUCAAGGCAGUGGAUUUUGUGAAUC